rnacentral:rRNA from 1 species
UUUUACGUAGUUACCUUUCGGGGUAAGGAAGGAAAGUUAGUGACGUGAGUGGGCGGACCGGGUGGAGUAACGGCGUAGGGCGAACCUGCCCCACUACAGGGGGAGUAACAGCCGGAAACGGCUAGCUAAAACCGACAUAAGCGCACAAGGGCCGCAUGGCCUGGUGUGAAAAACUCCGGUGGUAUGGGAUGGGCCCGCGUCUGAUUAGCUAGUGCGGGGGAGAGGCCACCCAAGGCGACGAUCAGUAGCCGACCUGAGAGGGUGGCCGGGCCACAUUGGGACUGAGACACGGCCCAAACUCCUACGGGAGGCAGCAGUGGGGAAUAUUGCACAAUGGGGGAAACCCUGAUGCAGCGACGCCGCGUGAGCGAAGAAGUAUUUCGGUAUGUAAAGCUCUAUCAGCAGGGAAGAAAAAUGACGGUACCUGAGUAAGAAGCACCGGCUAAAUACGUG